GAUGAACGCUGGCGGCGUGCCUAACACAUGCAAGUCGAGCGAUCUUCUCCGGAAGAGAGCGGCGGACGGGUGAGUAACGCGUGGGUAACCUGCCUCAUACACAUGGAUAACAUACCGAAAGGUAUGCUAAUACAAGAUGAUAUAAGAGAUUCGCAUGGAUUUCUUAUCAAAGCUCCGGCGGUAUGAGAUGGACCCGCGUCUGAUUAGCUAGUUGGUAAGGUAACAGCUUACCAAGGCGACGAUCAGUAGCCGACCUGAGAGGGUGAUCGGCCACAUUGGAACUGAGACACGGUCCAAACUCCUACGGGAGGCAGCAGUGGGGAAUAUUGCACAAUGGGCGAAAGCCUGAUGCAGCAACGCCGCGUGAGCGAUGAAGGCCUUCGGGUCGUAAAGCUCUGUCCUCAAGGAAGAUAAUGACGGUACUUGAGGAGGAAGCCCCGGCUAACUACGUGCCAGCAGCCGCGGUAAUACGUAGGGGGCUAGCGUUAUCCGGAUUUACUGGGCGUAAAGGGUGCGUAGGUGGUUUCUUAAGUCAGGAGUGAAAGGCUACGGCUCAACCGUAGUAAGCUCUUGAAACUGGGAAACUUGAGUGCAGGAGAGGAAAGUGGAAUUCCUAGUGUAGCGGUGAAAUGCGUAGAUAUUAGGAGGAACACCAGUAGCGAAGGC
rnacentral:rRNA from 1 species